GUGCCAGCAGCCGCGGUAAGACAGAGGGUGCAAACGUUGCUCGGAUUUACUGGGCGUAAAGCGCGUGUAGGCGGGCGACUAAGUCGGAUGUGAAAUCCCUGGGCUCAACCUAGGAACUGCAUUCGAAACUGGUCACCUAGAGUGAUGGAGAGGAAAGCGGAAUUCCCGGUGUAGAGGUGAAAUUCGUAGAUAUCGGGAGGAACACCAGUGGCGAAGGCGGCUUUCUGGACAUUUACUGACGCUGAGACGCGAAAGCGUGGGGAGCAAACAGGAUUAGAUACCCUGGUAGUCC
rnacentral:rRNA from 1 species